CCUACGGGCGACAGCAGUAGGGAAUAUUGCUCAAUGGGGGAAACCCUGAAGCAGCAACGCCGCGUGGAGGAUGAAGGUUUUCGGGUUGUAAACUCCUUUUGUUAGAGAAGAUAAUUACGGUAUCUAACGAAUAAGCCCCGGCUAACUCCGUGCCAGCCGCCGCGGUAAUACGGAGGGUGCAAGCGUUACUCGGAAUCACUGGGCGUAAAGAGCGCGUAGGCGGGAUAGCAAGUCAGAUGUGAAAUCCUAUGGCUUAACCAUAGAACUGCAUUUGAAACUGUUAUUCUAGAGUGUGGGAGAGGUAGGUGGAAUUCUUGGUGUAGGGGUAAAAUCCGUAGAGAUCAAGAGGAAUACUCAUUGCGAAGGCGACCUGCUAGAACAUAACUGACGCUGAUGCGCGAAAGCGUGGGGAGCAAACAGGAUUAGAUACCCGAGUAGUC
rnacentral:rRNA from 1 species